rnacentral:rRNA from 1 species
UUAUUUGAGAGUUUGAUCCUGGCUCAGGACGAACGCUGGCGGCGUGCCUAAUACAUGCAAGUUGAGCGCUGAAGGUUGGUACUUGUACCGACUGGAUGAGCAGCGAACGGGUGAGUAACGCGUGGGGAAUCUGCCUUUGAGCGGGGGACAACAUUUGGAAACGAAUG